ACUACAUGAAGCUGGAAUCGCUAGUAAUCGCAGAUCAGAAUGCUGCGGUGAAUACGUUCCCGGGUCUUGUACACACCACCCGUCACACCAUGGGAGUCGGAAAUGCCCGAAGCCGGUGACCCAACCAAAAGGAGGGAGCCGUCGAAGGCAGGUCUGAUAACUGGGGUGAAGUCGUAACAAGGUAAC
rnacentral:rRNA from 1 species